GACAUAGGUGGCAAACGUUAUCCGGAAUUAUUGGGCGUAAAGGGUGCGUAGGUGGUUCAAUAAGUUACUGGUGGCAAAUCGGGGCCCAACCCCGUGGAAGUCGGUAAUACUAUUAAACUAGAGGAUCGGAGAGGUUAACGGAAUUCUAUGUGUAGCGGUAAAAUGCUCAAAUAUAUAGAGGAACACCAAACGGCGAAGGCAGUUAACUAUUCGGUGCCUGACGUUGAGGCACGAAAGCGUGGGGAGCAAGACGG
rnacentral:rRNA from 1 species